AAGUGUAUUUUCAUAGGAAAACUCAUUUCAGAUCCGCGGCAGGAACUCGGACCGCUUCGCACAGCACGUUUCGGGUUUGCUGUGGGCCUGAGCUCCUUGCCGCCGGGCGAACGGUCCUGUCCGUUGUCUGCAUCCGGGAGAGCAGAUCCGGAUUCAAACCCAGAUUAACCUGGACCCAGCUCGGGGUGACAGGAAAACAGGAAAAUAUGUCCUCCACCUCCUCCUUCCCCUUUAUCCAUUUUCUUUUCCUUUAUUGGAGUAAAAACCAAAUUUGGUAUUUUAAUUGGUUGUGUUUCCUCUAUUGAUUGUUUAGCUAGUGGUUUUGCCAACUUCCUGGAUGUUCCUUUCUGGUUCUGCACAAAAGAGCCACAUUUCCCUUUUGGACUCGGGAGCAGGAGGCCGACUGCAGCCGACCCUGGAAGCCGUUGUGAAUGAAAAGGCCAGGCUCAUGGAAUGUGCUGGGUGAAGAAGCGCAUCACCACCUUCUCUGGGCCAGUUCUGGGGAGCCUGGAGACAAGCAGGCAGAGGGGCUGCCUGGCUCACACCUCGGCCCCCUGUGAGGUCGGCCGCCCUGGGUAAGUCUCGGGGACUUGCUGGGCGUUGGUUUUCUCUUCCGUUCCUACCUCAAAGGUUCAGAGAAAGGAGAGCUGGACCCAUAUAAUACUAAACAGACACCCACUAAGCGACUCCAUGGAGCAUUCCUGCAUCUGUGGGGCACUCCCACACUACAGCCUUGCCUCAGAAGUGCGGCCCUCGGACCAGCAGCGUGGGCAUCGCCUGGGAGCCUGUUUGCAAUGUAGAGUCUCAGCCCCAUGUCCUCCCCACCUGAAUCCCACCCGUGGCUUUGCAUGCCCUGGCCUGGCUCCUGGAGCAGCGUGCCCGAUGAGGCAGCUGCCCUGUGGCUCAGGUCCUGUGAGUCUGUCUGCUCUUGGCCACUCUGCUGCCAGGGGCUGAUAGGCUGCGUUUUGCAGUCUCCCAGGUCAGCCCGCUUCUGGGUGGGUCUGGCCAGGGAGAGGUAAGACGGGUGGGCAAGCCGGAGGAGGGAGAAGCCGGGGUCCCUUUCCCUCUCCCCGCUCCCCAGUGGUGGUUCUUGCAUAGACAAGCCCUGGGCGACACUGGCUCCUCUCUCCCUGCAGAGGCGCUCGCCACUCCCCACGAGGCUCAUCCUGGGCUCCGCUGGUCGGCUUCUGAGCUUUUCCAUCGCCAGAGCGACCAGUCUGAAUAUCAGGUUUCCUCUGUUUUAAAUACUUAGUGAAGUGUCUGUUUUUCUUGGUUGGAUCUAGUGGUCCACCCAGGCUCACACUGCAGGAUAGGGGUGUUGGACAGAUGGUUUGGGCAAGGUUCCUGCUCUCCUGCUGACUUGUGCUUUGACCUGGACAAGCCACUCUCCCUACGCCCAGGGCAGGAGCCAGGCUCAGCCAGGUCCUUUCUCUCCCACUCCGGCGCCUCCUGCGGGCCCCGCCCAGACCCUCCUCACCUGCAGCAGGUGGGAUGCAUGGCUGGCCUCCUGCAUUUACCCGCCCUGAGCCCAGGCCCUCUGACAGGGACUGGGUAGCUCCUCCCAAGAGGCAGUAGGUUCCUUGUCCCUGGAGUCUGGCUUUCACCCUCUGACUUGCUGUGGUCCAUGGGACACUAGCAGGUAUGCAAGCAGAAGCUUGGAGAUGCACCUGCUGUUUCCACCAGUGAUCUUGUGCCUUUGCCAUCACCCCGAGAGGGGCCUCUGCCGGUCCGAGGAGGACAGGGGACACACCGAGCUGUGUCUUGCCCUCCAGCCCAGCGGAGCUCACAGUCGUGUAAGUCAGCCCGGCCACCGUCGGCAGGGACACUUAGCAGGCCACCCCAGAUGCAGGGCGUGAGUGCUGUCCUGGUGUGCCCCUAGGCCCUGUGCUCUUGUGGUGCAGCCUGAGUGUGGUAAGAGCUGACUGACACAUCCUCACAGAGUGAGCAGCCUUCACAGAGUCCCCGGCUCACUGUGCAAAACAGCCUCGGGACCUCGACUGGGGCUUCAUCUGUACCGCUUCCCAGCAGGGGUCCCGGGAAGGCCUGGUGUUUCACUCUGCCUCCGUUUUGACCUCUGUAUAAGGUGGACAGCAGUAGGACUUUCCCUAUAGGGGCUGCAGGGAUUAGGAUGCUGUGUGCAAGGCAGCUGGGACAUAGGUGACACUCAGUAAAAGUUAUCAUCAUUAUAAAUGGAACCGCUAACCCUGUGUUACAAAAGCCAGUAGCAGCCCCGAUCUAGCCUUUGCCUUCCCGUCUCUGCCCCCAGGGCUCCGGCCAUGUCUACAGCUUGCCACCCUCAGACUCCAUACUUGCUUACGCCUCAGGGCCCUGCACACGCAUGCCUUCUCGCUAGAACGCCAUCCGCCUCUCCUCCAACUGGUGAAUCUCCCCCUUUCUUCACAACCACUUGUGUGCAGUGAAGACUGAAGGGUAAUUAUCUGAGUAUUUCACUUUGCCCUCCAGGACUUUUUGGGCAGUUCCCUGCAAGAGCACAUCCUUUCCUGAACUCUGGUCCCCUGGGGCUGGCCACCUCUCCCACCUGCAGUGUGAGGGCUCAGUCACACCUGGGUCCCAGUGAUGAACUCCCACCCUGCACUGCCCCCCCUCACCCCCCGGGGAACAGAGGCUAUGGACAUGGCACUGUGGCAGGAAAACCAACCAUGUGUCAAGACGAAGCCUCUCCUACAGAAGCCCCCUGGGAGGCUGUGGCACUCACUCACUCACUCAGCAGGCCGAUCCUCAGCGGGCAGCAGGGCCUAGGCGCCCCUGCCCUGUGCCAGGCGCUCAGCGGCUUUCCUUCACGGCUGUGACCUUUGCGUUGUGGCCCACAGUCCACCAGGGAGGUCAGGCGCGAGCUGACGGGGAGAGGGCAUGGAUGGGCAUCCGAACGGAGAUGGGACUGGUCAGCCUGGUGUGGGGACAGGGCAGAGGCCUUCCAGGCCCCCGUGGGUGGGGGGGGUGGACAGCCAGGGAGUGUGGUCGGAGAGCCCCGCCAAGGCCAGAUCACGGAGGUCAGGCAGGUGCCUGCUUUGACCCCAGUGCCACUUUCUGGGACGAAGCAGGCGGGGUGUGGCCUCCCCGCUUCUGAGGUCCUGUCCCAAAGGCCCUCCAUCGGAAACAGCGGCUGGAGGGGCUCUGCCCCCUGGCAGUCAUACUUAUGCCUUGGACAACCUGGAGGCUGGUUUCACCAAGGAAAUAAAUAAGUAAACAAAGAAAUAUAAUACUUGUUUUAGUGAAGAGAGGCAGCCUGCCUUUCAGUGCUCCAAAGAACACGGAGAACACUGCAAUUGGGUGGCCUUGCUGUCAGUCAUUUAGAUAAGCAAGAAGGGGGUGGAGCCCUGGGCUGGGUGGAACUGUUUCCAUGGAGACUGCCUGUCUGUCCCCUUUUGCGUUCCUGCCUGGAAGAUGGGACGGGUGGCAGCUCCUCACAUUCAGAGGCAGGGUGAGACAGCAGGUGGUGGGCGGCCCAGGCAGGGCAGGAGGUGGGCGCCGCAUGGCGGGACUCACACCAGCUUCCAGGAAGGACCAAGCUACCGAGAGGACGCACUGUCUUGUGCUUCGGGAAGGGCCGUCCUCGGGAGGUUCACCUCUGUUUCCGUGGCCGGCCCGUGUCACCUGACCACUGUUGCAAAGGAGUCUGGGAAGCUGCAUAUUUUCAGUCGGGUCCAUUGCCAAGCCAAAUAAAACCGGAAUCCUGUCAACAAGGAGGAAUGGGGCGGGGAGCGCAUGUGGCGCGGCAACCAGCAGAGGGCCGAGAGACCCGCCUGGGUCACAUCUGACUGUUCCGUGACACUCUUGAUUUGAAGGAGACGUUUUUCUUUACAAAAAGCUUUCUGAUGAGAUGUUCCUCUCCUAGCAUUCUGAAUAUUUUCACUGAAUAGCCUCACUAAAAAUAAAAUGAAUUAAUGUGUUUCUACCA